rnacentral:lncRNA from 1 species
CGUUGCUAGUUGCAGGGGGCGCAGCCCACCAUCCCUGCGGGAGACGAACCGGCAACCUUGUGGUUGAGAGGAUGCGCUCCAACCAACUGAGCCAUCCGGGAGCUCAGCGGCAGCUCAGCUCAAGGUGCCGUGUUCAAUCUUAGUUGCAGGGGGCACUGCCCACCAUCCCUUGCGGGACUCGAGGAAUCGAACCGGCAGCCUUGUGGUUGAGAGCCCACUGGCCCAUGUGGGAAUUGAACCGGCAGCCUUUGGAGUUAGGAGCAUGGAGCUCUAACCGCCUGAGCCACCGGGCCGACCCCCAAGCUUCAGUGUUAACAGUCACAAGCCCGCCCAUGCUGCAGAGAAACUGGCUGUUACUCCCACUUCUGGAUGUCACAUUUCCUGUUUGUGUGCCUGGACUGAGUGAGGGAGACCUGGUGGUGAAGGGCAACGGGAGGACAGAGGCCUUCUUACAGGUUUACACACUGCUGAGCUGUGGUUAACCAGCCUGGAGCCUCUAAUUCCACUGGCCUGUAGAGUGUCCGCUGGAGGCAGCUAGGGGGGAUGA